rnacentral:rRNA from 1 species
UCCUGGUGGCGAGUGGCGAACGGGUGAGUAAUAUAUCGGAACGUGCCCAGUCGUGGGGGAUAACGUAGAGAAAUUUACGCUAAUACCGCAUACGAUCUAAGGAUGAAAGCGGGGGACCGUAAGGCCUCGCGCGAUUGGAGCGGCUGAUAUCAGAUUAGGUUGUUGGUGAGGUAAAAGCUCACCAAGCCGACGAUCUGUAGCUGGUUUGAGAGAACGACCAGCCACACUGGGACUGAGACACGGCCCAGACUCCUACGGGAGGCAGCAGUGGGGAAUUUUGGACAAUGGGCGAAAGCCUGAUCCAGCAAUGCCGCGUGCAGGAAGAAGGCCUUCGGGUUGUAAACUGCUUUUGUACGGAACGAAAAGGCCUGCCUUAAUACGGCGGGCCCAUGACGGUACCGUAAGAAUAAGCACCGGCUAACUACGUGCCAGCAGCCGCGGUAAUACGUAGGGUGCGAGCGUUAAUCGGAAUUACUGGGCGUAAAGCGUGCGCAGGCGGUGAUGUAAGACAGUUGUGAAAUCCCCGGGCUCAACCUGGGAAUUGCAUCUGUGACUGCAUCGCUAGAGUACGGUAGAGGGGGAUGGAAUUCCGCGUGUAGCAGUGAAAUGCGUAGAUAUGCGGAGG